UACGAAGGGGGGCUAGCGUUGUUCGGAAUUACUGGGCGUAAAGCGCACGUAGGCGGAUAUUUAAGUCAGGGGUGAAAUCCCAGAGCUCAACUCUGGAACUGCCUUUGAUACUGGGUAUCUGGAGUAUGGAAGAGGUGAGUGGAAUUCCGAGUGUAGAGGUGAAAUUCGUAGAUAUUCGGAGGAACACCAGUGGCGAAGGCGGCUCACUGGUCCAUUACUGACGCUGAGGUGCGAAAGCGUGGGGAGCAAACAGG
rnacentral:rRNA from 1 species